UACGGAGGGUGCGAGCGUUGUCCGGAAUCACUGGGCGUAAAGGGCGCGCAGGCGGCGCAUUUUGUCAGGCGUGAAAGCCCCGGGCUUAACCUGGGAACUGCGUUUGAUACGGAUGGGCUAGAGUUCGGGAGAGGAGAGUGGAAUUCCCAGUGUAGAGGUGAAAUUCGUAGAUAUUGGGAAGAACACCGGUGGCGAAGGCGGGUCUCUGGGCCGAUACUGACGCUGAGGAGCGAAAGCGUGGGGAGCGAACAGG
rnacentral:rRNA from 1 species